rnacentral:rRNA from 1 species
GUAUGAAUGGCCACACGAGGGCUUUACUGUCUCUUACUUCCAAUCCGACAAGUUGACCUUCCCGUGAAGAGGCGGGAAUAUGACAAUAAGACGAGAAGACCCUAUGGAGCUUUAAUUAACCGACCCAAAGAGAUCUUGAUAAUCAACCGACAGGGAUAACAUACCUCUACCAUGGGCCGACAAUUUAGGUUGGGGUGACCUCGGAGAAUAAAACAACCUCCGAGUGAUUUAAAUCUAGACUAACUAGUCGAAAGUACUACAUCACUUAUUGAUCCAAAAACUUGAUCAACGGAACAAGUUACCCUAGGGAUAACAGCGCAAUCCUAUUUUAGAGUCCAUAUCGACAAUAGGGUUUACGACCUCGAUGUUGGA